rfam:Corvus brachyrhynchos isolate BGI_N302 unplaced genomic scaffold scaffold46, whole genome shotgun sequence.
GGUUUGCAGGCAGUGUAGUUAGCUGAUUGUAUCCCUCAUCCCACAAUCACUAAUUUCACUGCCAUCAAAAC